CACUGAUAGUAAACUUUGGAUCACAGGAUUUUUUACGUAGCUCCUUUAUUCAGGAAAAGAAUUCUUAAAGGGCUGUUCACGCUUGAAAUAUCCCAUUUAUUUUUGUAGGCACGAAAUAGCAAUAUAAUGCCUGUGGUGGUCAGUAUAUGGUAUUUUGUCAUGAUUUUCAUUCCAAUAUUCCAGGGCUCCUAGUACCGUUCACUUGAAUCUUCAAUCCUGUUUUAACUUCUGCUGCCCAUGACAAAGCAUCACUCAGUUCACACUGUGUUUCUCUGGGCAUAAGCUGAUGUCAAAAUGUCGCACUGACUUAGAAAACACUUCUGAAAACAGUCGAGCCUGAUAGUAACAACUCCUAACAGUUACUUAUUUAUGGAAAAAGAUGAUCCGCUGUGGCA